UGGGGAAUUUUGGACAAUGGGCGAAAGCCUGAUCCAGCAAUGCCGCGUGUGUGAAGAAGGCCUUCGGGUUGUAAAGCACUUUUGUCCGGAAAGAAAUCCUUGGCUCUAAUACAGUCGGGGGAUGACGGUACCGGAAGAAUAAGCACCGGCUAACUACGUGCCAGCAGCCGCGGUAAUACGUAGGGUGCAAGCGUUAAUCGGAAUUACUGGGCGUAAAGCGUGCGCAGGCGGUUUGCUAAGACCGAUGUGAAAAUCCCCGGGCUCAACCUGGGAACUGCAUUGGUGACUGGCAGGCUAGAGUAUGGCAGAGGGGGGUAGAAUUCCACGUGUAGCAGUGAAAAUGCGUAGAGAUGUGGAGGAAUACCGAUGGCGAAGGCAGCCCCCUGGCAAGUACUGACGCUCAUGCACGAAAAGCGUGGGGAAGCAAAACAGGAUUAGAUACCCUGGUAGUCCACGCCCUAAAACGAUGUCAACUAGUUGUUGGGGGAUUCAUUUCCUUAG
rnacentral:rRNA from 1 species